AAGAGUGAGCUGCAGGUGAGUGCAGUCCUUAUAUAAGGAGUGACAGGUGAGCGCAAUUAAGGGCAAACAAACACCACACCCAAUCAAAGGUGAGGAAAAGAAACAAGGUGCAGUGAGUGUGCUGAAAGGUGACACUGCUCAGCCAUAGAGUCUGAUUCGGCCCUCUGACUACUUCAACUGAGGGAAUAACUCAGACCAGGUCAUGUUUGCCAUACUAAGGUCAUCAUCAUCAAGACUAGACAAGCUAAUAUCCAACAAUAUCUUGUUCAGGUUGUCGUUCAAGGUAUCCGAGACGAGACCCUCUGUGAUUGAGCGAUUGGCUGGUGCGGCGCCUCCUCCCCACAUAAGCUUUCCAGAGCAGCUAUUUUUGAGGCAUUCAGUGGGCGACUCUGCUGGUCCGGUCACUCUGGAGGGAGCGGAUGUGAACAGCUCUCUUGGGGAGUUAAAUAGAGGCAAGUCUUUAAAGGGAGUGCUGCUGAAGCUGAAGGUGGUGUUGUCAUGUUGUGGAGUAACUGUGGGACCACCUGGUGUAUGAAUAGGAAAAAACAUCAAAAGGAAUUGAAACUGGAUCAUCCCUGCAAUCUAUUUAACUAUGUUACAUUUUUCCCCCUCAUGUUGUAGCCAGAACCCUCCAGCAGCAAAGCAGAUGUAAAAGAAAGUUGAAGCUAAAAGCUCCUAAACUACUGCAAAAAGGAAGUCCGAAUAAGUCUCCAAUAAGAAAUUUAACAUGACAGCAUCAA